rnacentral:lncRNA from 10 species
UUAUUUGCUUCUCGUACUAUCAGGGCAGUUGAUACCACAGCCCUCAAACAUGAGGGGCCAUCCUUUAGAAACCCUCUCUAGUUGUUUAGACACGUAGGCCACCGGCCACAGCCAGGGUCCCAGAGUUUCGGUUAAAAGUCCAGCUGCCAUCUUUUCUCUAUCUGACGCAUUCAAUGGAAAAGGCUUGGUCAGAUCGGGUAGCCCCAGGGCUGGGGCUGCCAGAAGUUUUUCCUUUAACUCAUGAAAGACUUGCUGUUGUUGGGAUCCCCAUUUCAAAGGUUCCCGGUCCCCGCCCCCUUUGUGACCUCAUACAAAGGCUUGGCUAAUACUGCAAAGUUUGGGAUGCACAGUCUACAAAACCCCACAGCCCCUAAGAAUUCCCUCACCUGCCCCCUUUGUGACCUCAUACAAAGGCUUGGCUAAUAAUGCAAAAUUUGGGAUGCAGAGUCUACAAAACCCCACAGCCCCUAAGAAUUCCCUCACCUGCCUUCUGCCCUUAGGCUCCGGUAGACUGCAAAUGACCUGCUUUCUUUCUGUUCCCGGGCUGCGUUUGGACCCCUGUCGGAUAGUAAAUCCCAAGCUCCGGUAGACUGCAAAUGACCUGCUUUCUUUCUGUUCCCGGGCUGCGUUUGGACCCCUGUCGGACAGUAAAUCCCAAGAUAACUUCAGGAAGUGGGUAUUAAUUCUCACGGUAUAAGUGAAGACAUUAAGCACCAGAGUUUAAGUAGCUUGCUAGAUCCACUGAAAGAGAUUCAACUGUGUGGAACCUAUGCCGUGGAGAAUUGCUUUCUGCCAUUGUUAUCGUCCAGCAGUUGCCGAAUAGCUCUGACCUGAGCAAAGCAGUGAAACGCGGUGCUGUUGAGUGGGUUGCCACUGCACCUUUUUCAACUACUCUAGUCUUGUGGAGAAAAUACCCCUUCUAAAUUUUUUCUUCAUUGAAUACUCUCCCUCAGCUCCAGAGUACCAUAUAGAGUUUUCUUGUAUUUUAGAGUUACUGUUUUAUCAAAGUUUACCAGUCUUUUGUAUUACAUUUCUCCUGUCUAAAUCGACUGUGUGGUUUCUACUCAUUAUGGAUAUAGAUUGAUACAAACUCA